rnacentral:rRNA from 1 species
UACGGAGGGUGCAAGCGUUAUCCGGAUUUACUGGGUUUAAAGGGUGUGUAGGCGGGUCUUUAAGUCAGUGGUGAAAUCUCCGAGCUCAACUUGGAAACUGCCAUUGAUACUAUUGAUCUUGAAUUUUGUUGAGGUAGGCGGAAUAAGUCAUGUAGCGGUGAAAUGCUUAGAUAUGACAUAGAACACCAAUUGCGAAGGCAGCUGACUACGCGAGUAUUGACACUGAGGCACGAAAGCGUGGGGAUCAAACAGG